GAUGAACGCUAGCGGCAGGCCUAAUACAUGCAAGACGAACGGUAAGUUGAGUAGCAAUACUUAGCCAAGAGUGUCGUACGGGUGCGUAACACGUAUGCAACCUACCCUAUACAGGAGGAUAGCCUAGGGAAACCUGGAUUAACCCUUCAUAGUAUUAUUGGAUGGCAUCAUUUGAUAAUUAAAACUGAGGUGGUAUAGGAUGGGCAUGCGUCUGAUUAGUUAGUUGGCGGGGUAAUGGCCCACCAAGACGAUGAUCAGUAGGGGUUCUGAGAGGAAGAUCCCCCACACUGGCACUGAGAUACGGGCCAGACUCCUACGGGAGGCAGCAGUAGGGAAUAUUGGUCAAUGGAUGCAAGUCUGAACCAGCCAUGCCGCGUGCAGGAAGAAGGCCUUUCUGGGUUGUAAACUGCUUUUGCCAGGGGAUAAAAUUUCCAUGCGUGGAAAACUGAAGGUACCUGGUGAAUAAGCCACGGCUAACUACGUGCCAGCAGCCGCGGUAAU
rnacentral:rRNA from 1 species